UACGGCUACAUCACGAUGAAACACCGGUUCGCGUACGAUCACCGAAGUUAAGCAACGUCGAGCCUGGUCAGUACCUAGAUGUGUGACACCUUGGGAAUACCAGGUUCUGUAA